ACUUUUGUAGCUUAUAUAAAGCGUUACAUUGAAGCUGUAGAGAAGGCAGUUUUGCCUUAAAGUA
rnacentral:tRNA from 1 species